GAUCAAGUGAAUAAGUGCACAUGGUGGAUGCCUUGGCGAUUACAGGCGAUGAAGGACGUUAUAGACUGCGAUAAGCUGCGGGGAG
rnacentral:rRNA from 1 species